GAUUAGGGAGGACGCUAGCGGCGCCUGAGGCGGCCAUCACCGCGCCUCAGGCCGGGUCCCCGCCGCCAUGUUCUUCACGUGUGGCCCCAACGAGGCCAUGGUGGUGUCGGGCUUCUGCCGCAGCCCCCCCGUCAUGGUGGCCGGGGGCAGGGUGCUGGUGGUGCCGUGCCUGCAGCAGAUCCAAAGGCAGUUUCAGGUCCUUGUCUGCUCAGUACAAGAGGUGUGACAAGAACAGAAUGGAAACCGACCAGGGGGUGGGUAGCACCUGGGACUAGCUGAUGGGCAGGAUGGCAGCAGUUAAACCUAUUGGUAAGUACAAGAACAGGAUGAUGCUAUGUCUGUAAUGUUAAUUAACUGGGAACCACCAUCAUAUUCUGUAUGAAUGUGGGAAACUGUCUGGAAAUGAUGUAAUGUUCCCAGUGACCAUAUAAGGAUGACCUGUAGAGCAAUACGGGACACACGUUAGGAGGAGCUCUCCCCC